AAACAGAAUCAAGAAGUUAUGGUCAGAAAUAUAUAGUUAUUGAGCAUCAUCAAGUUAUCAGGCAGGUCCCACAGUAACCAAGCUCCUUAAAUUAGUAAGGAAUUAACAGCAUUAAUGCAUGACUUCGGUCUGAUAACUUCAUUAUUAUCCAAGCAGCGAUAUGUGACAUUGUGAAACCUCUCAGUUUCUGGUUUAGUUUCUCUAGUACAUCUAUGGAGAAUUGGAAAACACCUUACUGUUAGCAUUUAAAACCCAUUAAAAGGCACUGAGAUCGCUUUAAACUCAAGACCAUAUAAUGUCUGAAGAGAGAUCAGAGAUGAGUGCUUUUACCAACGUUAUUGAUUGGUUUGGGUCUGUAAAGUUUAUUCCAACUGUACUGUUUAUGUAAUUUUCUAUAUUUACACAUCUAUAAAAAGCUGCAAAUUAACUUAUGAUAUAAAUGAUAUGAGACACUAGUCAGUUCUGAUAACCUUACGCCAAUUUAAGUGUGUGCAUGUUCUUACAUUAUCAGAGUUAUUAUCAUUAAUAAAGUAUUUGUCGCAGUAGCAACCAUAAGUGCAAACAGGUCAUGUACACAACUCGCUAAUCAUAGUGGCUAAACGUCACCAAACGAUAGUACGCACAAUAAUGUGUACAAUCAAAUUACAGCACACAACGAACCAGUGAUUAACGUCCCUCAGGUGAGUGUGGCAGUGACCCUGGAGGAGGUAGGCAGCCCCAGUCCAGAGCAGCAUCUUCAUCCUAUCUUCACCCUCUGCACCCACAGUCCUGGUCUCAACUUCAAACUUCUCCUCUGGCUCCUCCAACACCAACUUCUCAGGCAGCAGCUCCAGCGUUGUGCCAAUGACUUCAUCGCAUAGCGCCACGCAAUCAGCGGGCCGUCGGGCCGUGAGCAAGGCCGCGCCAGCCUCCAGGGUUUUCAGUCUUACUCCAUGUUGAUCAUCUGAGUGAAGAGCAGCCAGCAGGUCCAAAUAAUAUUCCACACCCUCUGACACCCUGAAGAAACAGCAGUUACACUCAUAUUACAACUACAGUUUGCCCCAUGUGUGUAU